CAGCCGCCGCGGGAAUACAGAGGGUGCGAGCGUUAAUCGGAUUUACUGGGCGUAAAGCGUGCGUAGGCGGCUUUUUAAGUCGGAUGUGAAAUCCCUGAGCUUAACUUAGGAAUUGCAUUCGAUACUGGGAAGCUAGAGUAUGGGAGAGGAUGGUAGAAUUCCAGGUGUAGCGGUGAAAUGCAUAGAGAUCUGGAGGAAUACCGAUGGCGAAGGCAGCCAUCUGGCCUAAUACUGACGCUGAGGUACGAAAGCAUGGGGAGCAAACAGGAUUAGAUACCCCGGUAGUCCCUGUCUCUUAUAC
rnacentral:rRNA from 1 species